rnacentral:rRNA from 1 species
AGAGUUUGAUUAUGGCUCAGAUUGAACGCUGGCGGAAUGCUUUACACAUGCAAGUCGAACGGCAGCACGGGAGCUUGCUCCUGGUGGCGAGUGGCGAACGGGUGAGUAAUGCGUCGGAACGUACCGAGUAAUGGGGGAUAACGCAGCGAAAGCUGUGCUAAUACCGCAUACGCCCUGAGGGGGAAAGUGGGGGAUCGCAAGACCUCACGUUAUUCGAGCGGCCGACGUCUGAUUAGCUAGUUGGUGGGGUAAAGGCUCACCAAGGCGACGAUCAGUAGCGGGUCUGAGAGGAUGAUCCGUCACACUGGAACUGAGACACGGUCCAGACUCCUACGGGAGGCAGCAGUGGGGGAUUUUGGACAAUGGGGGCAACCCUGAUCCAGCCAUUCCGCGUGAGUGAAGAAGGCCUUCGGGUUGUAAAGCUCUUUCAGCCGGAACGAAACGGUACGCACUAAUAUUGUGUGCUAAUGACGGUACCGGCAGAAGAAGCACCGGCUAACUACGUGCCAGCAGCCGCGGUAAUACGUAGGGUGCGAGCGUUAAUCGGAAUUACUGGGCGUAAAGCGUGCGCAGGCGGAUUGUUAAGCAAGAUGUGAAAUCCCCGGGCUUAACCUGGGAAUGGCAUUUUGAACUGGCAGUCUAGAGUGUGUCAGAGGGGGGUGGAAUUCCACGUGUAGCAGUGAAAUGCGUAGAUAUGUGGAGGAACACCAAUGGCGAAGGCAGCCCCCUGGGGUAACACUGACGCUCAUGUACGAAAGCGUGGGUAGCAAACAGGAUUAGAUACCCUGGUAGUCCACGCCCUAAACGAUGUCAACUGGUUGUUGGGGGAGUGAAAUCCCUUAGUAACGAAGCUAACGCGUGAAGUUGACCGCCUGGGGAGUACGGUCGCAAGAUUAAAACUCAAA